rnacentral:lncRNA from 12 species
AAAAGUUUCUUGAAAGGUCUAAUUUCAUCAGGUAGGCUCCCAGCAAUGCAGGGGAAUAAUCUCUGCUCUCUUGAAAACCUGGGAGUUGCCAUCUGCUGGACACACUGCGGCUGAAAUGAGCAGAUGGAGCUCUGCUUUCCACCUUCCUGGAUGAAGAGGAUUUCUCUCCACUGUGGCUACGAUCAAAACUGGAAUAACUGCUACAACACAUGCUGUCACCUCAUCGUUCAUUCUGCCCACCUGUUACAUCCCUUUCACCUCCUUUGGGUCUGUAUUUUCGAGUAAGAAAAAUCCACUGACCUUUUAGCCAGGGCAUUGUUUGCAACUCUGUAUCCACAGACUAUAUAGGAGGAUAAAAUCCCAGUCUCAGUUUGUCUCCAGCCACUAUUGCUUGAAUCAUUAGAGCUGUUAUUACUACAGGGUGAUUUAUUUAUUUAGAAUGUAACUUUUGGCUAAGGUUGCAAAUCUGUACAAGUUGAAUAAUAUACAGUAUCUA